CCUAUCUCGUGUUUCUGUGUUGGUUGCCAGUCUCUGCCUGUGUGUCUGGAUUGCGUUUACCAUACAGCCUGCAUCUUCACUCACCAUUUUCCUCACUGACUCUGCACCUGAGUAUUCCUCACAGAACAAUCUAGCCAGAAUAGAUCCAGCAGAGGAGUCCAGCCUUCGGUCCACUCUCAUUACUUGGACGUCAGCAAGAUCAGAUCUCCGCUUCCAACUGGACCAUGGAGAUGAUGUGUUAGAUGAUGGUGUCACUUUGUUUGUUAUAGCAACUCUGUCAGCCUCCUGAUACCGGUACCUUCACGGAAGCGCCCAUACUGGCCUUGGAAGUUACCCACAGCUUUGGAUGUUCUGAGCCCUGUCUCAACCCUCCAGCUCCAUUCUCAGGUUUUGGCCUCAAAUUCCCCAUCUGUCUCUGCUUGAAGGGGUGUGUAGGCCAAAGAGGCAAUUAUCGAGUCCACUAGAGGUUAAGUGGGACCUGCCAUAAGAUGAAUUGGUGUUCCUCUGCUGUAUUGUCAUGGAGCAAAGGCUGAUUGUUGGAACUGCAACAUGUGGAAACAUGGAACCACACUUUACUCAGGGUACUUCUCUGGCUUAAACAAUGUUUAAAUCACUCAACAAAGUUCCAGCAAGUUCUGUGAACAAUCUAACUUUUUCUGAAAUGGGUGGGGUAGGUUAACUACAGGAUUAAACUGACUGGUCAUUUAAAAUCUGAAGUGCAAUUAUUCUGUUUUAAUUGUUUUUUCAUUGCUGC